GCACAUGGGUUAGUCGAU
rnacentral:snRNA from 1 species